AGUGAACGCUGGCGGUAGGCCUAACACAUGCAAGUCGAACGGCAGCACAGAGGAGCUUGCUCCUUGGGUGGCGAGUGGCGGACGGGUGAGGAAUACAUCGGAAUCUACUCUGUCGUGGGGGAUAACGUAGGGAAACUUACGCUAAUACCGCAUACGACCUACGGGUGAAAGCAGGGGAUCUUCGGACCUUGCGCGAUUGAAUGAGCCGAUGUCGGAUUAGCUAGUUGGCGGGGUAAAGGCCCACCAAGGCGACGAUCCGUAGCUGGUCUGAGAGGAGGAUCAGCCACACUGGAACUGCGCGACGGUCCAGACUCCUACGGGAGGCAGCAGUGGGGAAUAUUGGACAAUGGGCGCAAGCCUGAUCCAGCCAGACCGCGUGGGUGAAGAAGGCCUUCGGGUUGUAAAGCCCUUUUGUUGGGAAAGAAAUCCAGCUGGCUAAUACCCGGUUGGGAUGACGGUACCCAAAGAAUAAGCACCGGCUAACUUCGUGCCAGCCGCCGCCGUAA
rnacentral:rRNA from 1 species